rnacentral:misc_RNA from 1 species
UCUCCGUAGGUGAACCUGCGGAGGGAUCAUUACAAUGUUCAGGCCCCUAAGGGACGAUCUACCACCCUUGUGUAUUUAUACCGCUGUUGCUUUAGCAAGCCGCUGGAUUUCGCCCUGGCCACCUGCUCAUGGGAUAGUGGGCGCCUUCCAGGGGACCCCCAAAGUCUGGUUAUCAGUGUCGUCUGAGUAUUAUACAAUUAUUAAAAAUUCCAACAACGAACCUCUUGGCUCUGACAUCGAGGAAGAACGCACCAGAAAGAACGCGGAAACGUCUGAACU